CAGACGUGAUUGGGGGGAAUUUGGCCUCCUUGACUUCCCCAGCCUUCUCUCAAUUAUUUGAUGAGAAAGCUUUGAUCCAAGAAACACAGUGGGAUCUGCAAAUCUGCUUUGAACAUUCAUCCUGAGAGUGGUAAUUGAGUUUUCAAUAUUUAUGGCAGGACCUGGAGCUGUACUAGUGAGUGCACUAUCAUCUCUCCCCUGUGGUAGCCUGGCUUAAGACCCAGCUCAGCCAUUAGACCCUUGCAGAGGAGAGCAGGGAGAAGGGGAGGAAACCUCACGGACUUUGGUUCCAGAGGCUGGGAUUCCAGCUGAAGUGCAAGUUGGUGCAAACUCAGGCACUUCCCGGAGAAGACGUGUGUGGUCCCAGCAAGCAAUUAGAUGCUUUUCAGCCUGUGCUUCAUUCUUCUGGCCAAUUUGCAGUCAGUGUCUUCUGAGAGCUUUGAUCAGAGGACAAGGAAGCGAAGCUGGAAAAUGCUGAUUGUAUUGUGCGCUGUCAAGUGGAAACAAAGGCAGACGUUGCACAGGGGCAGCUUCGCUUCCCACGGCGGCUCGGACGCUCCUGAAUGCUGGUGUCACUGCUGA
rnacentral:lncRNA from 1 species